UGGGGGAUAUUGCACAAUGGGCGAAAGCCUGAUGCAGCGACGCCGCGUGGGGGAUGAAGGCUUUCGGGUUGUAAACCUCUUUCGCUAUCGAACAAGGCCCGCUUAGGGUGGGUUGAGGGUAGGUGGAGAAGAAGCGCCGGCUAACUACGUGCCAGCAGCCGCGGUAAUACGUAGGGCGCGAGCGUUGUCCGGAAUCACUGGGCGUAAAGGGUUCGCAGGCGGAAAUGCAAGUCAGGUGUAAAAGGCAGUAGCUUAACUACUGUAAGCAUUUGAAACUGCAUAUCUUGAGAAGAGUAGAGGUAAGUGGAAUUUUUAGUGUAGCGGUGAAAUGCGUAGAUAUUAAAAAGAAUACCGGUGGCGAAGGCGACUUACUGGGCUCAUUCUGACGCUGAGGAACGAAAGCGUGGGUAGCAAACAGG
rnacentral:rRNA from 1 species